AACGAACGCUGGCGGCAGGCUUAACACAUGCAAGUCGAGCGCCCCGCAAGGGGAGCGGCAGACGGGUGAGUAACGCGUGGGAAUCUACCCAUCUCUACGGAAUAACGCAUGGAAACGUGUGCUAAUACCGUAUACGUCCUUCGGGAGAGAGAUUUAUCGGAGAUGGAUGAGCCCGCGUUGGAUUAGCUAGUUGGUGGGGUAAAGGCCUACCAAGGCGACGAUCCAUAGCUGGUCUGAGAGGAUGAUCAGCCACACUGGGACUGAGACACGGCCCAGGCUCCUACGGGAGGCAGCAGUGGGGAAUAUUGGACAAUGGGCGCAAGCCUGAUCCAGCCAUGCCGCGUGAGUGAUGAAGGCCCUAGGGUUGUAAAGCUCUUUCACCGGUGAAGAUAAUGACGGUAACCGGAGAAGAAGCCCCGGCUAACUUCGUGCCAGCCGCCGCAGUAAAAC
rnacentral:rRNA from 1 species